rnacentral:rRNA from 1 species
GAUGAACGCUGACAGAAUGCUUAACACAUGCAAGUCCACUUGAAUUUGGGUUUUUAACUUAGGUUUGGGUGGCGGACGGGUGAGUAACGCGUAAAGAACUUGCCUCACAGCUAGGGACAACAUUUGGAAACGAAUGCUAAUACCUAAUAUUAUGAUAAUAGGGCAUCCUAUAAUUAUGAAAGCUAUAAGCGCUGUGAGAGAGCUUUGCGUCCCAUUAGCUAGUUGGAGAGGUAACGGCUCACCAAGGCGAUGAUGGGUAGCCGGCCUGAGAGGGUGAUCGGCCACAAGGGGACUGAGACACGGCCCUUACUCCUACGGGAGGCAGCAGUGGGGAAUAUUGGACAAUGGACCGAGAGUCUGAUCCAGCAAUUCGGUGUGCACGAUGAAGUUUUUCGGAAUGUAAAGUGCUUUCAGUUGGGAAGAAACAAAUGACGGUACCAACAGAAGAAGUGACGGCUAAAUACGU